AAGCAGCACAAUCCGGAAUGGCGUCGCCGUCGCCAUCGCCAUCGCCGUCGCGGCCGUGCGGAGUUGCAGCAACUAUUGAUUUCAUCGGCGAAGACCUCCUUCAAAACAUAGUCGCCAGACUGCCGGCCUUUUCAUUCGCCUCCGCCGCUUGCGUUAGCCGCUCUUGGAACCUCGUUUGCGAUCGCGUCCUUUGUCGCCCCAAACUCUCCUCCGCUUGUUCCUUCAAUUUUUCUCUCCAUGUUGCUGUAGAAGAAGUGUUUAACAAAGCACUAUCGGAGCCAAUUCGGCCUCAUUUUGCCAUUGCUUCUAUCGGUCCUUCGUUCGAUUUGCAGCAGGCUCAUCAACUCAUUACAGCAAAACUAGGCUCCAAAGUUCCAGUGAUUACUAAUGUUCCCUCUGGAAUUAUUGGAAGGGAUGCCAUUUCCGACGAAUUCAAAGAGAUUCAGUGGGAAAUUACUGAGGAGGAUGAUGAUCCGGGUGUUCCUCUACUUCAACCUGAGAGUGCAAAUAGAGCAAUCAUGUUGAUUGUUGGAUUUCUACCUGGGAUGAAAGUCGAAGCAAUCCCACUUCUAAAGCAAAUUGCGGAACCACAAGUUGUCAUGAUUGACAGAUUUAUGAUGGACAUUAGGGAGUACUCAACUUCUAUUUCUGGAUGUAGAUCCCCUGCUGCCAUAAUAAUGUUUAGUACCUUCGAAGCAGGCAUGAAAUCUACUGUAGAAAAGAUGGAUUAUGGUAUGUCACGGGAUACUGUCAUUGUCGGGGAUACUGCUUGCCAGUUCCUCUUUAGUAAUGAAAGUUCAAGGAACACAACCACCAUGGAAGAACACAGUUCUUCAGCAGUUGCCUUGGUAUUUGCAGUGGACAAGAACAAGCCUCGUGGUACGGGAGAAACUCAAUUUAAAGCUGUAUUAUCAACCGGGUUGUCACCCGUAGGCCCGACGUACAAGGCGGCAUCCGUCAGAGAGAAACAUCGUGAUUCUUUGACUUGGAUCACUGCAAGAAGAGAAGGGUUACGUGAGAAUAUCGAUGGUGAAACUAUUAUGAAUCAAGUUUAUGACGAACUAGGAGACCGAAUCCAGUUUCCUACUUUUUACAUUGGUGUAACAAAAAGAAGAAAAUGUUCCAUUGGGCAGGAUAAAGUGGGGUGGAUGACCUCCUUAGCAUUCCAUGAGGUUCUCGGGGAUAACCAGGAGUAUCUUUUUGUUGGUGAUGUUGGCAUCAAAACAGGCGAUUCCUUUCGCUUUUACCACUCAGAUUCCAGCAUCGCUCUAUCUUCAAACGCCACCGUUUCUGAACGUUUGAGAUGUUUAAAGCAAGGGAGCACGACCGGAGGUGAUACAAGGGAAGUGUUUGGGGGGCUCGUUUUCACUUGUUGUGGUCGGGGUGAGUCGUUCUUCGGCCAACCAAAUGUUGACAGCUCGCCAUUUUUGGACGUCUUCCCUGGUGUGACGUUUGCAGGGACAUUCUGUGGCGGGGAAAUCGGACGUGGUGAUGUAAACCCUUAUAUUAAAGAAUCUCAAGAGCAAAAGUCGGUAUGGUGUUGCCUGCACGUAUACAGCGCUGUCUACUUAGUCAUGUCUUACACUUCAUCGAAAGGGAGUUAAGAUGUUCACGUGUUGGAUUUUGGUCAGAAACAAGUUUGUACUAGUGAUGUGGGGGACCGGGCCUUGUUAUGGGAAGCCCAUUAUCAGGCGAACAGAAAGUGACACGCUUAAUCAUGCAUAACUUUUAUUACGGGUCUCCAUUUCAGGCCAACGAUACAUCGAUUCAAAGCUUAGGAGCAAGGGCCUACGGGAUUUUUGAGACCAAAAAACGUCCUUUAAACAUGUUUCAGGAUUCUUUCGUCUUUUUUAGGGUGGGAGAACAAUGGUCUUAAGGCCACUGAUUUGACAUUGCCACCGCAAACACGAUGCUCGUUGCUGACGUUGGGUAAAAGUUUGUUUCGGCUAAGGAUCGGAGUUUUUUCUUCUUGUUGAACCGGGCUCCGAAUGACCGGAUUUAAUCGAUCUGUGUGCAUCUCUACUUGUAACAAAAACAAAAAAUAGUAUGCAAAACAUUACUUUGAAGUAAGUUUCAUUUAAAGGCUAGGUCUUUGAGCUCCAUCCAAUGGAUUAUCAGUUUGAGUCGCCUCAGGCUCAGGGUAAUCGGGAUUUUCCUGAUUGUUAUCUUUAAGAUGAUAUGAAAUUAGUCGAGGUGUGCAUAAACUGAUCAAGA